rnacentral:rRNA from 1 species
UACGUAGGGCGCAAGCGUUGUCCGGAAUUAUUGGGCGUAAAGAGCUCGUAGGCGGUUUGUCGCGUCUGUCGUGAAAGCUUGGGGCUUAACCCCAAGUCUGCGGCGGAUACGGGCAGACUAGAGGCAGGUAGGGGAGAACGGAAUUCCCGGUGUAGCGGUGAAAUGCGCAGAUAUCGGGAGGAACACCGGUGGCGAAGGCGGUUCUCUGGGCCUGUACUGACGCUGAGGAGCGAAAGCGUGGGGAGCGAACAGG